rnacentral:rRNA from 1 species
CGGACGGGUGAGUAACGCGUGGAUAACCUGCCUCAUACAGGGGGAUAACAGUUAGAAAUGACUGCUAAUACCGCAUAAGCGCACAGGACCGCAUGGUCUGGUGUGAAAAACUCCGGUGGUAUGGGAUGGAUCCGCGUCUGAUUAGCUGGUUGGUGAGGUAACGGCCCACCAAGGCGACGAUCAGUAGCCGACCUGAGAGGGUGGCCGGCCACAUUGGGACUGAGACACGGCCCAAACUCCUACGGGAGGCAGCAG